UCCCUCAUUUUCCUUCAGCUCUCUCUUUCUCUACCCGAGACUUUCUCUCUCAUCCUCCUUGCUGGAAAUUGCCGCCGCCUAACCGCCGCGGUCGCCGGAACCCGGAUUUCAACCAAAGUUUCCAGAUUUUCUUCUCUUCCUACCCUCUUUCCAUUUCUCCAACCAAAAUCAAGAAAUUUGGCCAUCCAACCCUCCAAAAACCCUAGAACCUGAAGCUAAAUUGGGGCUUUUUGUGAUUUCUUCUUUCCAAGCUUAAAUCAAGGUAAUAUCCAUCCUAAUCUAGCCUCUAUUCCUUCGAUCUAUACAUCUUUCUUAUCAAAUUCGAGUUUUUGAUUUCCAUUUUGAAUUUUUGGUGCAUGAACCCGAUUUCUCCUUAAACCAUGAAGCUAGGCUAUGGGUUUGGCAAGGAUUUUUGGUGAAGAAGGCCAAGGAGAAGGAAUAGGACGUGAUUUUUGAAGAAGAAAGGGAAACACGAUCGUUAUGGAAGCUUAAGCGGAAAGCAUCAGAGUGUGGAGUACGCCAGCAUUAUCCAGCUAAUACAGUGGCUGUGAAUGCUAACGGGGGUCCCAAAGUGCUUUACGAUGUAUGGUGUAAAAAGGACAAGUAUGACCCAGAAUGUAAUGCUAAAUGUUUGGAUGUAGAUCCUCAAAGUGUUUCAUAUUGCGAAAAAGCCCCAUGCUUAAAGGAUAAAUAUUUAUGUAUAUGUAUACUUCCUUCUUGCUAGAUGCUCUUCCUAGUUCUUGUCUUGGCAUCCCAUGGAAAUAAAGGAGGAAAAAAAUAAAUAAAUGAAUAAAUGCUUUGCA